GGGAGCGUAGUUCAGCUUGGCAGAACGUCCCCUUCACACGGGGAAGGCCGCAGGUUCAAGUCCUGCCGCGCCCACCA
rnacentral:tRNA from 1 species